CUCCAAAACAGAGCCUGAGACAAGGACUUGGGGACUGGGAGUUUAGUAACACCAGGAAACUGGAGCAAGGGAGAAGGAGGAAUGAGCCAGGGGAGGAGCAGUGCCAGGAAAGGGUGUGUUAUUGGACUGGGCAAAUGAGGGUUGACCUUAGCUGGGGACUCCCCAAGGAACUUUAUUUCAUUUUUUUGUCUUUUUUUUUUUUCCUUUUUGUGGAGAAUGGGGUCUCACUAUAUUGCCCAGGCAGGUCUCGAACUCCUGGGCUCAAGCCAUCCUCCUACUUCUGCCUCCCUACGAGCUGGGAUUACAGGCAUGGGCCACCGCACCCAGCCCAAGGAACUUUAUAGAAUGCACUGAGAACUGUGUCUUGCUAGGAUCAGAAAACAAGAGCCCAAAAUGAAGGCCUCAGAAGCAAAAGUUUUUCUUUUUUUCUUUUUCUUUUUCUCUUUUUUUUUUUUUUUGAGACAGAGUCUUACUUUAUCUCCCAGGCUGGUGUGCAGUGGCGCCAUCUUGGCGACUCACUACAACCUCCACCUCCUGGGUUCAAGCAAUUCUCGUGCCUCAGCCUCCUGAGUUGCUGGGAUUACAGAUGUCACCACUACGCCUGGUUAUUUUUUGUAUUUUUAGUAGAGACGGGGUUUCACCAUGUUGGCCAGGCUGGUCUUGAGCUCCUGACCUGAGGUGAUCCGCCUGCCUUGGCCUCCCAAAGUGCUGGGAUUACAGGCCUAAGCCACCGAGGCAAAAUUUUUUUCGCUGGCUUUCUCCUGCCCUUCUGUCUCUAAGUCCCAUUGUCCCCCAAGGCUAGCCAUAGAAACUAGAAUCCUUCUUCCCUAAGGUGGUUCCUAGAAACCAGAACCCCUUUUCCCCGAAGCCAACCAUAAAACCUUAAAAAUAUUACUCCAACUUUCCCUCUGCUUUCUAUGUAAAAACUGGCCAUAAAGAAAUUAUCUGACUUACUUUGUUUGGCUUGUAGGUCAUAAGAUCCCCAUUCCAGAGGAGGUCCUGUCCCAUACUCAGAAGGAAGGAGCGCUGUUCAGAAAGGGCAAGAAGAAUCUAGACAGACAGGCCCUGCUGGCUUUCCCCACUCCAUCUGUUAGCAUUAGAUCAUUCCCUUUUUGUCCACUCGUAUUUCCACAUGACUGUCCAUACUUGGUUGAAUUUAAACUUAAAAAUGGACAAUUUCCCCUGUAGACUUGGGUCUUCAUUCUGAAGCCUCCAUGUACCUGUGAAUAAUAUUUGUGUGCCUUUUCUCCAAUUAAUCUGACUUUCUGAAUUGAUUUUUCAGUGAACCUUCAAGGCGGGAAGGGGAAAUCUUCCCUUGGUCUCCACGGUCUCUAAAGGACGGCUGACAGAGAGAGACAUUUGUCCACUGGUUCCCCAACAACCUCCCAACACCUUUGUUGGCUGAAAGUUGACCCCAAGACAGUCAACUCUCCGGACUUUCCAGCUGCCUUGGAAAAACCCUAAAUGUCCGCCCCAGCUGCAGUCGAAAUUAGAGAGUGAUCCUGGGUGGAUUCCUCACCCUGCUGAGAAUGUGAGGUGGGACGACUUUGAAGAUGUGUGGAGACAGCAUGGAAGAAGAGCUAGAUCACUAGCCAGAUAAUUCCAGAUUCAAGUUCCAGCUCUACUGCCACGUGCACUUGGACAAGAUGCUCUGUAUCACCGAUCUUCAGUCUCUGAAUCUGCAAAAUGGGUGGAUUAGUCCACUUUCAUGCUGCUAAUAAAGACAUACCAGAUACUGGGUAAUUUAUAAAAGAAAGCGGUUUAAUGGACUCACAGUUCCACAUGGGUGCGGAGGCCUCACAAUUAUGGCGGAAGGCAAGAGAGAGCAAAGCGACGUCUUACGUGGUGGCAGGCAAAGAGAGAGAGCUUGUAUAGGGGAACUCCCCUUUAUAAAACCGUCAGAUCUCGUGAGACUCAUUCGCUAUCAUGAGAACAGCACGAGAAAGACCUGCCACCAUGAUUCAAUUACCUCCCAUUGGGUCCCUCCCAUGACACAUGGGAAUUAUGGGAGCUACAAUUCAAGAUGAGAUUUGAGUGGGGACACAGCCAAACCAUAUCAAUGGGGUAAAGGAUGCCUAUGUUGCAAAUUCAUUGGGCACACUAAAUGAUAUGAUAUAUGCACAGCAUUGGAAUGGUGCCUGGCAUACAGCAGACAAGCUUGAUCAGUGUCUGCCUCUACCAGCAGUUAGCACUAGCACCCAGGACAGCUCCCCGGUCCCUGCCUGGAUGCUGUCCGCGGUGCUGAUAAAGGAUUACAAUCUCUACCAUUCUUCCCCGUGUCUCCAAGUUCAUCGGCCUCUGUGACGUUCUCAGACGUCUCCGAGAUCAAGGGGGGUGGUGUGCAUGCUACUUUCACAAUUUUCUCUUAGACAUUUGUCAAUAAGCUCAAAAUACAGUUGUAGAAUGAAGGCUAUCCUUCCUGUGGUGGUAGAUUUGUUCAUUUUCCUCCUGUAUAUUUCAUUGAAUGCCCUUUGUGUUGGGUCCAAGAGACUGAGCUCAGUAAGUAUAGUUAUAUUAAAAACAAGGACA
rnacentral:lncRNA from 1 species